rnacentral:lncRNA from 1 species
AUUUCAGUUAUUGCAAUUUCAUAAAUUUCCCCUCCCUCGUUAAAAUCAACAAACAAAUUAGCAAGUGCGGCAAUAUAAACUAAACAGCUAGAACUAGUUGGAUAAUAUUGGCCAGAUAAAGCAUUUGCAGCCACAUGAAAAUGUUCUAAAAAAUCUAAAAGAAUUUUAACGUUAGUCCAAUCUUGUGUAGUUAGCAUGUCAAUAUCG